UUACCUUUUUUUUUAUUCGAUUGCUGAAGGCGAUUGUCUGAAAAUAGCUUGAAAUAUCCUUUCAUAGCUUGACUUCUACAUAAUGUUAGAAUAUCACCAUAUGUACUGUAUCUUGAGGGCUUUAAAAAGCUGCUUUUAAUUCUUUUUGACAGAAAUAUCGUUAUCUAGUGUUUUGUCAGUCAACCAGAGGAAGCAGAUUAGGAUUGACGUUGCCUCCCACCAGAGCUUGUAAAACUAAAUGGUGAAGUUGGAUAUUUACAAGAAGUACUGAUUUUUUUUGCUUCGUUUCAUUAGGCUACGCAAGUGAAUAUAGUGAGUAGUGGGAGAUCAAGUUAUUCAAUUAUCGCCACGGAUUUCGUGAUCAGUUUUUUUUAAGGUGUCUAUGGAGAGUGUUUGCUGUUAUAAUGAUUCACAGACUUAGAUGGUUGGCCCUGAUCUGUAUUGGGCAAUUGCGUCCGUCGUCAUUGAUUACACCACCUGUCAUCUAGCCCACGCAUUUCGAAAAAUAGCUCCAAAUGAAAGAUUACGUGAGACUUAGUACAAAGG